rnacentral:rRNA from 1 species
UGGGGAAUUUUGGACAAUGGGCGCAAGCCUGAUCCAGCCAUGCCGCGUGCGGGAAGAAGGCCUUCGGGUUGUAAACCGCUUUUGUCAGGGAAGAAAUCUUCUGAGUUAAUACCUCGGGAGGAUGACGGUACCUGAAGAAUAAGCACCGGCUAACUACGUGCCAGCAGCCGCGGUAAUACGUAGGGUGCGAGCGUUAAUCGGAAUUACUGGGCGUAAAGCGUGCGCAGGCGGUCUUGCAAGACAGGUGUGAAAUCCCCGGGCUUAACCUGGGAACUGCACUUGUGACUGCAAGGCUGGAGUACGGCAGAGGGGGAUGGAAUUCCGCGUGUAGCAGUGAAAUGCGUAGAUAUGCGGAGGAACACCGAUGGCGAAGGCAAUCCCCUGGGCCUGUACUGACGCUCAUGCACGAAAGCGUGGGGAGCAAACAGGAUUAGAUACCCUGGUAGUCCACGCCCUAAACGAUGUCAACUGGUUGUUGGACGGCUUGCUGUUCAGUAACGAAGCUAACGCGUGAAGUUGACCGCCUGGGGAGUACGGCCGCAAGGUUG